GACGAACGCUGGCGGCGUGGAUUAGGCAUGCAAGUCGAACGGUAUCAUCCUUUCGGGGGUGAGAGAGUGGCGAACUGGUGAGUAACACGUAGGUUAUCUACCCUCAAGACGGGGACAACCCAGGGAAACUUGGGCUAAUACCGGAUGUGAGCAACUUUUAGUUGUUUGAAAGGUGGCGUAAGCUGUCGCUUGGGGAUGAGCCUGCGUCCUAUUAGUUAGUUGGUGAGGUAACGGCUCACCUAGGCAAUGAUAGGUAGGCGGCCUUAACGGGUGGUCGCCCACACUGGGAUUGAGAUACGGCCCAGACUCCUACGAGAGGCAGCAGUCGAGAAUAGUCUACAAUGGUCGGAAGACUGAUAGUGCGACGCCGCGUGAACGAUGAAUCCCUUCGGGGUGUAAAGUUCUUUUAUAUGUGAGCAGUGCUUCUUAUAUUAACAGUAUGGGGAGAGAGAUAUUAGCAUAUGAAUAAGCAACGGCUAACUCCGUGCCAGCAGCCGCGGUAAA
rnacentral:rRNA from 1 species